rnacentral:rRNA from 1 species
UACGGAAGGCAGCAGUGGGGAAUAUUGCACAAUGGGCGCAAGCCUGAUGCAGCUAUGCCGCGUGUAUGAAGAAGGCCUUAGGGUUGUAAAGUACUUUCAUCGGGGAGGAAAAACAAAACUAAUAAUUUUAUUUCUUGACGUUACCCGAAAAAGAAGCACCGGCUAACUCCGUGCCAGCAGCCGCGGUAAUACGGAGGGUGCUAGCGUUAAUCAGAAUUACUGGGCGUAAAGAGCACGUAGGUGGUUUUUUUAAGUUCAGAUGUGAAAUCCCUGGGCUUAACCUAGGAACUGCAUUUUGAAACUGAAAUACUAGAGUAUCGUAGAGGGAGGUAGAAUUCUAGGUGUAGCGGUGAAAUGCGUAGAUAUCUGGAGGAAUACCUGUGGCGAAAGCGGCCUCCUAAACGAAUACUGACACUGAGGUGCGAAAGCGUGGGGAGCAAACAGGGAUUAGAUACC